CACGUAGGUCCCGAGCGUUGUCCGGAUUUAUUGGGCGUAAAGCGAGCGCAGGUGGUUUAUUAAGUCUGGUGUAAAAGGCAGUGGCUCAACCAUUGUAUGCAUUGGAAACUGGUAGACUUGAGUGCAGGAGAGGAGAGUGGAAUUCCAUGUGUAGCGGUGAAAUACGUAGAUAUAUGGAGGAACACCGGUGGCGAAAGCGGCUCUCUGGCCUGUAACUGACACUGAGGCUCGAAAGCGUGGGGAGCAAACAGG
rnacentral:rRNA from 1 species